rnacentral:rRNA from 1 species
UACAGAGGGGGCGAGCGUUAUUCGGAAUUAUUGGGCGUAAAGGGCGCGUAGGCGGCCUGGCAAGUGGAAGGUGAAAUCCCUCGGCUUAACCGAGGAACUGCCCUCCAAACUGCUUGGCUUGAGUCCGGGAGAGGUGAGUGGAAUUCCCAGUGUAGCGGUGAAAUGCGUAGAUAUUGGGAGGAACACCAGUGGCGAAGGCGGCUCACUGGACCGGAACUGACGCUGAGGCGCGAAAGCGUGGGGAGCAAACGGG